AUUUUAGUCUAUUCAGAGGAACCUGUCCUGUAAUUGAUGGUCCACGAUUUAAUUAACUUUUUCUUGUGGUUUGUAUAUCGUCGUGGUUUGAAUAUUUUAUAAGGAUUUUAAUGUUCAAUAAUUAUUAUUUUAAUUGAUGUCAGAUCAAGGUGCAGCUUAUGGGAAAGAAGAGAUGGGUUACAAUAAGAUUAUUUCUGGUUUGGGAUUUUUAAUAUUCUCAUUAAAUUGGAUUUGAAUGUAAUGUUUUUAAAAUUAUAAACUUGAUUUUGGCUCUAAAAUAUGCACAUAUCGCCCGUCA
rnacentral:rRNA from 1 species